GGGGAAUCUUGCGCAAUGGGCGAAAGCCUGACGCAGCAACGCCGCGUGCGGGAUGAAGGCCUUCGGGUUGUAAACCGCUUUCAGCAGGGACGAAAUUGACGGUACCUGCAGAAGAAGCCCCGGCCAACUACGUGCCAGCAGCCGCGGUAACACGUAGGGGGCGAGCGUUGUCCGGAUUUAUUGGGCGUAAAGAGCUCGUAGGCGGCUUUGUCAGUCGGGUGUGAAACCUCCAGGCUCAACCUGGAGCCGCCACCCGAUACUGCAAUAGCUAGAGUCCGGUAGGGGAGCAUGGAACUCCUGGUGUAGCGGUGAAAUGCGCAGAUAUCAGGAAGAACACCAGUGGCGAAGGCGGUGCUCUGGGCCGGAACUGACGCUGAGGAGCGAAAGCGUGGGGAGCAAAC
rnacentral:rRNA from 1 species